rnacentral:rRNA from 1 species
UACGUAGGGUCCGAGCGUUGUCCGGAAUUAUUGGGCGUAAAGAGCUUGUAGGCGGUCUGUCGCGUCUGCUGUGAAAAUCCGGGGCUCAACCCCGGACUUGCAGUGGGUACGGGCAGACUAGAGUGCGGUAGGGGAGAUUGGAAUUCCUGGUGUAGCGGUGGAAUGCGCAGAUAUCAGGAGGAACACCGAUGGCGAAGGCAGAUCUCUGGGCCGUAACUGACGCUGAGGAGCGAAAGCAUGGGGAGCGAACAGG